rnacentral:rRNA from 1 species
AUUGAACGCUGGCGGCAGGCCUAACACAUGCAAGUCGAGCGAGCGGCGGACGGGUGAGUAAUGUAUGGGGACUGCCCGAUAGAGGGCGAUAACUACUGGAAACGGCAGCUAAUACAGCAUACUAUCGGAUAACCCAUAUGGGAUUAGCUAGUAGGUGAGGUAAUGGCUCACCUAGGCGACGAUCCCUAGCGGGUCUGAGAGGAUGAUCAGCCACACUGGGACUGAGACACGGCCAAGAAUCCUACGGAGGCAGCAGUGGGGAAUAUGGCGCAAUGGACGCAAGCCUGAGGCAGCCAUGCCGCGUGUAUGAAGAAGGCCCUAGGGUUGUAAAGUACUUUCAGUCGGGAGGCGUUACCGACAGAUGAAGCACCGGCUAACUCCGUGCCAGCAGCCGCGGUAAUAC